rnacentral:rRNA from 1 species
AUUGAACGCUGGCGGCAGGCCUAACACAUGCGAGUCGAACGGUAACAGGAAGAAGCUUGCUUCUUUGCUGACGAGUGGCGGACGGGUGAGUAAUGUCUGGGAAACUGCCUGAUGGAGGGGGAUAACUACUGGAAACGGUAGCUAAUACCGCAUAACGUCGCAAGACCAAAGAGGGGGACCUUCGGGCCUCUUGCCAUCGGAUGUGCCCAGAUGGGAUUAGCUAGUAGGUGGGGUAACGGCUCACCUAGGCGACGAUCCCUAGCUGGUCUGAGAGGAUGACCAGCCACACUGGAACUGAGACACGGUCCAGACUCCUACGGGAGGCAGCAGUGGGGAAUAUUGCACAAUGGGCGCAAGCCUAAUGCAGCCAUGCCGCGUGUAUGAAGAAGGCCUUCGGGUUGUAAAGUACUUUCAGCGGGGAGGAAGGGAGUAAAGUUAAUACCUUUGCUCAUUGACGUUACCCGCAGAAGAAGCACCGGCUAACUCCGUG